rnacentral:rRNA from 1 species
AAUUGAUAUAAGUAUUUUAAUUAUAAAUUUUAAGUAAUGAUAAUAAUAUAUUUGCUUAAAUAUAAGUUUAUAUACCUUUUGCAUAAUGGUUUAAUUAUAUAUUAACUUUUUAUUUAUUCCCGAAGUGAAAAGAUCUAAUAAUUAAUAUAUAUUAGGAAUUUAUAAGCUAUUAAUGUGGCAUUAUUAAAGUAUAAUUAAUUUUUAGAGAUGAAAAAUCUACAUUUUUUACGAUAUCUGGAUAAUUAAUAAAAGUAUUAAGUACUAAGUGUAAAUCAGGAUUUAAGUAUUAAGAUUUAAAUCCUUGAAAGAAAAUAAUAGUAUACAAAUUUUAUAAGAAGAGUAAUUUCUAACUUUUAAAUAAUACAUUUUAUUAAUUUAUAAUUAUUUCUUUUUUAUAUUAAUUUAUAUAAAUUUAUUAUUAGUUUAUAAAGAUAAUGUUAAAAUUAGUAGUAUAAAUUAACUUUUAAAAAGAAACUCGACAAAUAUAAUUUUCAACUGUUUAACAAANCAUAGCUUGAUGAAUAAAUAUUAAGUGAAUUCUGCCCAGUGAAGAUUUAAAUUUAACGGCCGCAGUACCUUGACUGUGCUAAGGUAGCAUAAUAAUUUGGCUUUUAAUUGAAGUCUUGAAUGAAUGGAAAUAUGGGGAUUAAUUGUCUCUUUAUAAAAUUAUUUUAAUUUAUUUAUUAGGUGAAAAUCCCUAUAGUAAUACAUUAGACGAGAAGACCCUUAGAAUUUUAAUAGUAAUUUAAUAACUAUUAAAUUUAGUUUUUGUUGGGGCGACAAAAUAACACUUAUUAAUAUAACUUAUUGAAAUAAUAUUUUACCUACCAAAUUAAUUAUUAAUGAUAAAAUUACCUGAGGGAUAACAGCAUAAUUUAUUUUUAUAAGAUUGUGACCUCGAUGUUGGAUUAGGUUAAAUAAUGGUUAGAAAUUAUUGUUUUAGGUUCUGUCGAACUGCUUAC